rnacentral:rRNA from 1 species
UACGUAGGGGGCUAGCGUUGUCCGGAUUUAUUGGGCGUAAAGAGCGUGUAGGCGGCCAGGUAGGUCCGUUGUGAAAACUGGAGGCUUAACCUCCAGCUGUCGAUGGAAACCAUCUGGCUAGAGUCCGGAAGAGGAGAGUGGAAUUCCUGGUGUAGCGGUGGAAUGCGCAGAUAUCAGGAGGAACACCGGUGGCGAAGGCGGGUCUCUGGGCAGUAACUGACGCUGAGACACGAAAGCGUGGGUAGCAAACAGG